UCGACCCACAGCUUGAGAUGGAUCUGGGGACAAUCCUAAACUUCCAAGCUGCGGAAACCAGCGCUCAGCGUUCUCUCUGCAAUGCUUCUGGAACCCUCCCCCGAAAUCUGCCGCAAGAUUGUAUCCAGGAGGCAUGUGAGUCCAGAGGAUCCAUUUGAUGAUGGGUGCAUACUACGAAUGAAUUUGGCUCCAUCUCUGGAAGUUGCACCCAACUAGCCUGUCCUCUUUGAAAUCCAGAUGUACGCUCCCAGCUGUUCCUGCUGCCACACCUUUUCUUCACUGUUAUGGACAUUAACCCUCUGAAACCGUAAAGCCAAUGAAAUGUUUUCUUUUGUGAAUUGCCUUGGUCAUGGUGUUUUAUCACAGUGACAGAAAAGUGACCAAUGCAGUGGUUUACAUAACAAGACCUCGUCUCAAAAUGGAAAAGAAGAGGGAGAGGGAGAGAGAGAGAGAGAGAGAGAGAGAGAGAGAGAGAGAGAGAGAGAGAGAGAGAGAGGGAGAGGGAGAGGGAGAGAAUACUGUAUUAUCCUCCCUUGGAAUGUUGGCUAGAUUUAAUGAGAAAUAGAUUACGAUGGAGAAAAUGAUCAGUUAUAAAAGACUCUGAGGUUGCAUCUUUUCUCUCUUGAACCAUUCACUCUGAAGAAGGCAGUUGUCAUUUCCCAAGGACACCUAAGGAGUCCUGUGGAGAGGCCCACCCGGCAAGGAACUGAAGCCUCCUAAGAACAGCAGUAGGAAUGACUAAGGCCUUCUUAUCCAUCUAUCUAUCAUCUAUCUAUCUAUCUAUCUACCUAUCUAUCUAUCUAUCUAUCUACCUAUCUAUCUAUCUAUCUAUCAUAUCUAUCUACCUAUCCAUCCACCUAUCAUCUCUCCAUCCAUCCAUCAUCUAUCUAUCUAUCUAUCUAUCUAUCUAUCUAUCUAUCUAUCUAUCUAUCUAUCUAUUUGGUUUUUCAAGAUAGGGUUUCUCUGUGUAGUCCUGGCUGUCCUGGAAAUCACUCCGUAGACCAGGCUGGCCUUGAACUCACAGAUAUCUUCAUGCCUCUGCCUCCAAGACUGGGAUUAAAGCAUGUGCCACCAUGCCUGGCUUUAAAAAAAUUUCUGUACCUACAAAGUCGUGAAUAUUCUUAUGUACCUGAAGGAUAAUUGCAAUUUAAGAUUCAAUUUCUUUUUAAAAAGGUUUAUUUUACUUUUAUUUAUGUGUAUGGGGUGUGUGUGUGUGCUGGUGCUGUGGAGGCCAGAGGGAUCCCCUGGAGCUGGAGCUGCGGGUGGUUGUGGGCCACCUGACAUGGAUGCCGGGAACCAAACUCAGGUCUUCUGCACUCCACUUCCACUCGUAACCACUGAGCCCGCUUCAGCCCAGAGAAGAGAUCUUUUUUUUUUUUUUUGAUGGUGAGAGCAUGAUGGUGAGAAAAAAGAGAAAUUAGAUACCAAAUACCAUAAAGGAAGGCUCACAAGCCUGGAAUCUCAUUGCCAUGGUGCUGAAAGAGCCCCCAAGAAAGGAAAGGAGAGUUGUUCCUUUUCUUGGAUUUUGAUCAAUCUUCUAUUAUUGCUUAAGGGACUGCCUUCAUCCAUGCUAACAGGAUAUUGCAGUUUGUAUGGGAUGAGAACACAGAUAGAAAGACCAAGUACAAAGAAAAAUCACACUGGAACUAGACUGAGACAUUUGAUAAACACUGAAGAGGAUAGUAGGUACCUUUUUUCCUUUUUUCUUUUUCCCUCCCUCCCUCCCUCCCUCCCUGCUUUCUUUCUUUCUUUCUUUCUUUCUUUCUUUCUUUCCUUCUUUCUUUCUUUCCUUCUUCCUUUCUUCCUUUCUUCCUUUCUCCCUUCCUAAGACAGGCUUUCUCUGUGUAGCCUGUCCUGGAACUGGCUCUGUAGACCAGCUGGCCUCUCAAAUUCGGAGAUCCACAUGCCUCUGUCUCCUGAAUUCUGGGACAAAAGUUGCACAACACUAUGCCCAGCUAAAGGACAGUAACUUAGAGCAGUAACCACAGGCAAAACAAUGGGGCCGUCUUCCUUAACUGCUGUGUAAAUGACCAUGGGACUACAGACCACGUCACCAAUUCUUCCUUCUUCCUCCGCUGACCUCAGAUAGCAUGCAGCAGGAUUCUGUCUCCAUUGUUACUGCAGAAACUGCAGAAGAGGAAAUGGCUUUGGGAGUCUCGAAGGAACUCUAACUGGCCCGGCAGAGGUUGUAAGUCUUCAUUUUGGGGUGUUUCUAUUUCGUCUUUUGGAACUCUGGGAAUCGUCCUGCCACAGAGCUACACUUUAGCCUUUGGAACAUCUCUUUUUUUAAACAAACAAACAAACAAACAAACACCAGCACUCUACAGCUUGGCUCUUUGUGCAUACUGCCAGUUCCUUUUCUACUUCUCUGAUACACACUGUGGCAAAGCCAGGAGUCAUCUCCAGGAUUACCAUGCUGUUUGGACCUUCCAGCCACCAGAAAUGUGAACCAAAUAAACAUCUUUUACUUUAUAAAAUUCCCAGCAUUAAAUAUUGUAUAAAGGCAACACAAAAUAGACUCAGCCAUUCUAUGAGCUCAAUUUACCUUAACUAUCUCUUUAACCCCUCCCUCUCCAAAUAUAGGCACAUUUUCAGAUACCGGGGUUUUAAGACUUCAACAUAUGAAUUUGGAUGAGAGACACAAUUAAAUGCAUAAUAAAGAGCAUGUCUGCCAGGCGGUGGUGGUGCACGCCUUUAAUCCCAGCACUCGGGAGGCAGGAGGAUCUCUGUGAGUUCGAAGCCAGCCUGGUCUACAGAGCGAGUUCCAGGACAGGCUCCAAAUCUACACAGAGAAACCCUGUCUUGAAAACAAAACAAAACAAAGAAGAAGAAAAAGAACAUGUCUGUGGGAGCAAGAAGACUUGAAAGAACAUGAUGAGAUCACUGUUUAUUGAAGCAAAAGUGUAAUGUAAUCUGAAAUAAAGCAGAAUGGGGCUGGUGUUCAGAGGUUUAAGGUUCCAAUCUACCAAGGUAAGAUUUCAUCCUGGAGGUUAUAGGCCUUGAAAAAACUGAAAUCAUAGAAAUGCCCCAAUCAGGUAGGUUGUGGUGGUACACAACUUUACUCCCAGCACUUGAGGCAGAGGCAGGCAGAUCUCUGAGUCUGAGGCCAGCCUGGUCUACAGAGUGAGUUCUAGGACAGCCAGGACUACACAGAGAAACCCUGUCUCGAUAAAUCAGAAAAUAAAAAAAAAAGGAAAGAAAAGAAGUGUCCCAAUCAAAGGUGAGUGUUUUGAAUACCCUGAAGUGCAGGGACUGGACUGUAGAGAGGGGGAUGUUUGAAGAGACAGAAACUAGCUAGGGAGUUAAUGGUGAAUUAGACUAUAAACCAGGAUGGCAUCCUCAGAGUGUUAGUGUAGAGACUGUAUGGACAGUAGCUGGAUGUAAAAAGUUGGCAGCCCUGGAGAAAACUGAAAGACCAUGAAAACAGAAAGCUGUCCAUGAGGAAAUGAGGCCCAGGCUCAAUCUCUAGUAAUAGACCAAAAAUAAAAUAAAAUCAAAAGUGUGGCCAGGUGUGAUGAUUCAUACUUUUAAUCCCAGCACUCCAGAGACAGGGAGAGAGAUCCCUGUGAGUUCAAGGCCAGCCUAGUCUACAUAGCAAGUUCCAGGCCAACCAGAGUGAAAAAAUGAGACUCUAUCCCAAUCAUAGCAAAACAAAACUGAUGAAGAAAAAUUCAGGUACGUAUGUAAUCAGAGAAUGAACGGAGUACCAACCUAACUGCCUUUUCCCCUCUGUCCUUCUUCUUGAGGGACUGGUGUUGGGAGCUUGAGAAGAUCAACAACGUUUUAGGGCAGGCACUCUGGAUAGAAAGGCAAGAAGGAAAGGAAGUAAUUCCUGAGCGACCUUGUAACUCCAGGACUUUUAGGGUUGGGAUAAAGCUACAGGACUUGUUUGGAUAGAGGCUGAGAAAGUCAGAAUCCAAGACUGAGGCUGUUGAGGGUAAGAGAGUGGCUGACCAUUUGGGACCAGGCAUAUGAAGA